rnacentral:lncRNA from 1 species
GACUCGCACUCAGACUCAUAAGUACUUGACUGUACCUAAAAAUUUUUCAUCAUCGAAUUAAAAAUUUGGAUAGUCUGGAUCAAAGCAUAUUGAGUUGCUUGUAAGUCAUCGAGGCAGCCUCAGGUUAGAGGAAUACUUAUACCUAUAUCCCAUCAGAGCAACCCUUGAUAGUAGAGUGCUCUGGAGGUAGUCAUGCUUAGCAAAAUGUACUCCUACAUAUCACCC